rnacentral:tRNA from 1 species
CGCGCCGGGUCUCCGGCCGGGCCUGGCUGCUCCUGCUGGCCGGCAUCCUGCUGGUCAUGGUGGGCGGUGCGCUCGGGCUCCGCACCGACGCGC